rnacentral:rRNA from 1 species
UACGUAGGGGGCAAGCGUUGUUCGGAAUUACUGGGCGUAAAGGGCUCGUAGGUGGCCAACUAAGUCGGACGUGAAAUCCCUCGGCUUAACCGGGGAACUGCGUCUGAUACUGGAUGGCUUGAGUUCGGGAGAGGGAUGCGGAAUUCCAGGUGUAGCGGUGAAAUGCGUAGAUAUCUGGAGGAACACCGGUGGCGAAGGCGGCAUCCUGGACCGACACUGACGCUGAGGAGCGAAAGCCAGGGGAGCAAACGGG